UUGCUCACGUGGGACAAACGAUUCAAAUGAAUUGAAUUUAAAUGAAAACAUAAAAAUGCACACAGGGUCACAAUUUAUCAACUCCGGCCAUGCUCAGCUGAAGCCAACGUGGGCCACCGUGUUGGAAAUUGCCUCUAGCGGCGGUGGCCACCAGAAACGAAAAUUGCCUCCAUCAUCAACUUCGUCUUGUCCCUCUCUCGCUGAAUCUCCCCUUUAUUUCAUGAAAUCUUACACCUAAUCCCAAAACCUAAUCAAGUCCCCCAAGAACCAUAACCACUCAGUCUUAAAUUAAUCCCUCGGCUCAAAGAACCAGAGCCCAGGGGAUUGGGACUCCGAUUCUCCUACUCUCUCUCCCUCUCUUUCUACAUCAUGGUGACAAAGAAUUGAAUAAAAGAAGGAAUUUUGAGAUUCACCUAGCCGGAGGUGACGACGACGAUGGAACCUCUUUUUCUAGAUUUGGUUUACAGCACCAAUAUGUUCUGCAACAUGUUCUGAUUGCCAUUCUGACUUAGGUGAUUUCAUCUCAUGCCUUGCCCUGGUCUUGUAGGUCAUGUAUACAUGUUCUGACUUGUGAUUGCAUUGCAUUCUGACUUGGUUUCAUGCUUGCAUAGCUUCAUGGUUGGUGUUCUGCAGCAUGGCACUGCAGCGGGUACAUUAUGGUUCUGAUGUGUUUAAUUGCAGAAUGGCUUUUUCCUGACCUUGCUUAAUUUGUGCAGGAUUACAUGUCCAUGUUUUAGGUACAUAAUUGUUUUAAAUAAUGAAUUUAGUUGAAGUGAGGUCAGAUUUUAUUAUGUUGCAAACGGACUUGUUGUACUGCAGGUCUGAUGCAAAGUUGCAACAAGGAUCUACAAUUGGUUGCCAUGCACUACAACUUGCUACAACAGCAAGUACGGGCAGGCUAGUCAUGGAAGUAUGGUUUGGAUGGUCAAGUGCAAGGUUUAUUGCAAGCUUAUUGUGUUAUUUUGAUAGCUUGUAAAGGUUUGUGGAAAUGAACGUGACAUGGACAAUGUUACUUGUAAAUAAAGAAAUCGGAAUGGAAGCAAGCUAACAUGAAUUUUGGAUGAUAAAUCAAGGCCCAUGGGGGGAAUUAGGAUUAGGUUUGGGAAAUUAGGGUUUUAGGAUUUUAGGGUUGACUUUGGUCAAAGUUGACCUCAACAUUUGAUCAAAAUUUCCAUUUCUUAUAAUUUUCCAUACUUUUGACAUUUUCAUGCUUGUAAUGAAUGGAAUUGACAUAUAAUGGAUUAUAUUUUAAUGGAA